rnacentral:rRNA from 1 species
AACUAGCACCUCGAGUGGUCAGGAGGUUUAUUGGGCCUAAAGCAUCCGUAGCCGGUUGCAUAAGUUUUCGGUUAAAUCUAUGCGCUCAACGUAUAGGCCGCCGAAAAUACUGUGCAGCUAGGGAGUGGGAGAGGUACACGGUACUCAAUAGGAAGGGGUAAAAUCCUUUGAUCUAUUGAUGACCACCUGUGGCGAAGGCGGUGUACCAGAACACAUUCGACGGUGAGGGAUGAAAGCUGGGGGAGCAAACCGG